GAUGAACGCUGGCGGCGUGCCUAAUACAUGCAAGUCGAGCGAACGGACGAGAAUCUUGCUUCUCUGAUGUUAGCGGCGGACGGGUGAGUAACACGUGGAUAACCUACCUAUAAGACUGGGAUAACUUCGGGAAACCGUAGCUAAUACCGGAUAAUAUUUUGAACCGCAUGGUUCAAAAGUGAACGACGGUCUUGCUGUCACUAAUAGAUGGAUCCGAGCUGCAUUAGCUAGUUGGUAAGGUAACGGCUUACCAAGGCAACGAUGCAUAGCCGACCUGAGAGGGUGAUCGGCCACAUUGGAACUGAGACACGGUCCAGACUCCUACGGGAGGCAGCAGUAGGGAAUCUUCCGCAAUGGGCGAAAGCCUGACGGAGCAACGCCGCGUGAGUGAUGAAGGUCUUCGGAUCGUAAAACUCUGUUAUUAGGGAAGAACAUAUGUGUAAGUAACUGUGCACAUCUUGACGGUACCUAAUCAGAAAGCCACGGCUAACUACGUG
rnacentral:rRNA from 1 species